UAAAGAGAUACUGACUCCUAAAGGAGUUCAAACUUCUAUUUGGCGCGACUCCGAAGCUUUUGAGAUCCUAGUAGCGAUUGACCCGAUAAUUGGGUCAAGAACGGAACUCCAACUCCCAACUACAUGUAAAGAAAAAGAUAAAUAAAUUAGUAAUUAAUAAAGUAGAGGGAGGAGGCAAAGCAAAUUGAAGUAAUCUAGUAAAGAGCUACAAAUAUAUACAUGAGCCUGGAACAAUAAAAUUAGGAACUUAGCCAAUUUACAACGUACGAAACUUGUACCAUGAUAAGUUGAACAACAAUUUCAGCUUUGUUAAAAAUAGCUAUUUUUAAAGAAAAACCAAGACAAAUAUCUUCCUAGUGGCUGUUUGGAUCACCAUUAGUUCAUACAAGAGCAUGAUAUAGCGAGACUAAUAAAAAAGUGUGGAACAAACACUAUUCAUACAAAAGUCAUAACUGAAAAGGCAAAAUAACCAUAUUUAUGAAUCUUAUCACAAACUUUCAGUGAUUAUGAUCACAUAAUGAGAAAAUGAAUAAUUGCACAAAUGUUUCAACAAUUUAAGAGAGCUAAGCUAUUCCACAAAGCUCGAAACGAGGGAUAACCUGUAUAUACUAGAAAUAAGUUCCCGUCACCCUAACCAUUCAUUUUUUCUUAACCAAAAUUGUUCAUGCAUACUAUUACUUACCUUGCCAUGAACACGGAUAAUAAUUAAAUGAGAACAAGGGCUUGUCUAUACCUUGUGAAUACACAAACCAAAUUGGGAAAUGGCCAAGCCGCUACUACCAUGUUAAAACAUCUAAAUCAACACCAAAAUGAUCCCAAAAUAAAAAAAAUAAAAAAGGGGACAAGCGUAUAGGAUUAUCACCAAAUAUAUUAAAGGGCGGAAAACUACCAUUUCAAUUUCAUAUUCGCAACUAGCAAAACGCAACAGCCCAGUUGUUUGAGACUUCAAACUUUACAUGUUUCAUUCAGGCCAAAUGAAAACAUCUCACAGAAAACAUCAUCCAAUGAAGAUAUUAACUUUGUAAGCUUUGAACUUUUAUUUUACAUCUUUUAUGCCCCAAAAUAAGCCAGUAAACACUUUGAUUUACCACACUAGAGGCAAAAGGCUAAGUGCGACGUAACUAUGAUGGGGUGGAGGCACAAAAGGAAGCAGUUUUUUACAUCUCGUGUUAAAAAUCUGGACAAUCAUGCAUUAAAAGUGAAGUUUAAGAUGGAACUAAAUUUAUGAAGUCCAUCCGCGAACGAUGAACAACUACAUCGUGACCAAAUUUGACACCAAACAUAAAUCAUGGACUUGCAGGUCUGUUUUCCAACAUCAACACUAACGUAACCUUAAUUGAGCUCUACACAGAAACCCGAUUUUCCAGAAUCAAUCAACGGCUUAAGUGAUCAAACUUCUUAUAUGGAACAAUUCUCUUAGAACCCAAGUCAUGUUUCAUUCGCAAAAGCGAAUGAAACGCCAACAACAAAAUUCAAGGAUGGAGCGAAAUCACGCAUUCAUAAUCAAUCGAGAUGAACAAAAUAAAUGAAAACGGAAGAGAUAAAUAAUGAAAAACAAAAGGGGAGAUUCGCCUGUUUUCACAUACAUAGAUACAAAACGGUCCCGAAAUCAGAAAACCAAACCCCAAACUUGAUUCCCUUGGCAAACAGACAACAAUACCAACGCGGGAUCGAAACCAGACAAAAACAUUUUCAACAACAACAUUAGCCGCAAUUCAUAUACCCAAACUUCUCCGAAUCGACAAAACAAGCCACCAAACUAACAAUCAUACGCUUAAAAACAUAAAAAAUGGGACGAAAGAAGAGAAUACGAGGAACGAAUUCAUACCUUGUGUUGUGCAGUGAACCGGGGCUUUGAACGGCUAGGCUUUUCGGCGACAAAACUCAAACCCGAGAAACUCAAAUUGGAACCCAACCAAAGAGAUUACCGACCUUAACUUCAACUCCCUUUUGAUCUUUUUUACACUGUUUCUU
rnacentral:lncRNA from 1 species